UUUCUAGGUACAUAGCUUUUG
rnacentral:miRNA from 1 species